AUGAACAUCAAAACUUUAAAAUUUUAUUUUUAUGUGCUAUAUAAAUAGGUUAAUUAGCAGUAUAACUAAAUAGUAAGGCUGCCAGUCUCCUUCAGACAAAU
rnacentral:snoRNA from 1 species